rnacentral:piRNA from 1 species
UCAGAGUUUACAUUGGAGAGCCCUCGUUCU